CUCGGCUCUCCCGGCGUGCCCCGCGGCAGGGGGCGGUGCCAGGGACUCGUUGCGGGCGCAGCCAGUACCUAGAGGCUGAGGCUCCCGUCAGGCUGUGCGGGGGCAUUUUUGAACAACACGACUCUCCCAUCCCAGCCAAGAAGGAGAAUGGGGAUGUGAAAGGAGAAGGAGUGUGGUGCGCUGGACUCCUCCACAGACUACUGGGUUUUCCUGGACUUCCAGGCGGGCCAGGUGGCAAGGAGAUAUCAGGUGCUACCACAGCCCUGUAGUUUACCUAGGCUUGAUUUGUGACCCAAGAUGUGAUCUAUCCUGGAGAAUGUUGCGGGUGGACUUGAGAAGAAAGUGUAUUCUGCUGCUUUCGGAUAGAAUGUCCUAUAAAUAUCAAUUAAGUCUAUCUGGUCUAAUGUGUCAUUUAAGGCUUGUGUUUCCUUAUUAAUUUUCUGUCUGGAUGAUCUGUCCACUGGUGUAAGUGGGGUGUUAAAGUCCCCCACUAUUAUUGUCUUACUGCCGAUUUCCCCUUUUAUGGCUGUUAGCAUUUGCCUUGUAUACUGAGGUGCUCCUAUGUUGCAUGUAUAUAUAUUUACAGUUGUUAUAUCUUGCCCCAUUGGUUUAUGUUCUCCAUCAUCACGGAGCUCUUCUUGGUUUUCCUGGGUAGUUUCCACACUAAUCCUAAACUGAGAACAAAAUGUUUUGUUAGAUACUCUCUGCUAAAUACACACCAAA